UAACAUAAAAAAUUUGGUGCACUCUGAAUAACGCGCGUAGCGGGUUAUUUAACAGUGUGCACCACAUUUUUUUUUGUUAUUUCGAAUAGACAGAAAAAAUAUUACAGUCAUUUCUUAUUUUUUAAUUCUAAAUUCCAUUUUAAACCGUAGAAAACCAUGAAAAAAAUGUUGCUGACGUCACGGUCACAUGACUAAAUUAUUUCUAUGGGCUAAUAACAAAAUAAC
rnacentral:lncRNA from 1 species